CCUAGAAGUGAACCACACACUUCCCUGGCUUUCUGCUUUAUUGACGCUGUGCUUCCCAAGCACAGUCAUCAGCAUGAAAAUACAAGUUUGUUUGAAAGUUCGUUCGGACACUAUCUUGAUGUGGUUUUCCUAUUAUGGUUCUGCAUUAUUGGGAAGGAUACCACAGCUAUACCAUUUUCAGUGCAUCGUCUUAGAUUGAUCAUCUGAUUAAGAGGUGGAAGCUGGAAUUACCCCACUAAGAUCUUUAAGGAAAACCAGUAUACCUGAUUUCCCAUAAAUGAAAGAGAUUAGCCAAGAAAAUGUUUAAAAAGGACAAUAAGGGUGAAAAAGUGGGAUCAACCUCAAUGUCUGGCUCAUCUGUGAUGAAACCGCAGGAUGGAUUAGCAUGCCUUCUAUUCAAGUGUUAAAAAGAUGGAUUGUAUUUACAUGGUUUGAACUGGAAAGAUCUGCAGAAGUAAAAUGGAAAAUGCCAGGUCUCUUCCAAACUGUAAAUACACUUAAAUAUUAAAGCAAUGAGAUUGAAGAUGGCUUCAAGUAACUUGUCAUGACCUCUCCAAGCAAGUCCUGAGCUCUGUGGAACAGAAACAUGUUGGAUUCUAGCUUCAAAUCUGUUGUCAAUGAUGCGGAUGGCUGAAGUUUUAUUUGGAAAACAGCAGUUGGUAUGAAAACUCUUCUACUGCUUACAUUUAAAAUAUCCCAUACAGACACAUGGCAUGGAGAGGAUGUCAAGACUGAAAUUUUCUAAUAUGGGACUUAAACUCUAGCCUGACCUGGAACUCUGCAGGAGGCAGGAACACUACAAGAGCCAUUUUUCUUAGAUUGUACAUGGUAUUAUGGUCAAGUCUCAAGAUGUUACAAGGUACAAAGUAGUUGGCUAAAAAUACAGCCAGAGGUCUGUACUUCUCUUCUUUCCUGCAUCUGUGAGAUGACAGCUUUCAAGCAUCCAGAUGAGGACCACAUUUUGACCUGAGUUGGGUACUUAUGCCAACAAGAGCCUGUGGUCCUCGCCCAACUGCCAUCUGCACACCCUAAGAUCAUCUCCCUCCAGCGUGCCCCCACUCUGCCUGACAGUGCCCAGCCAAGGGCUGAUCCAUGCCCAACACUCCUAGCCAGCCUGCUGUUUGCUUGAAAUCCCAUCCCAGAAACUGGAGUACUUUGGAGACUGGGUGAACAAGUCUCCAGAAGAGAUUUUGGCCUCCCAAGGAAUUUCCCAUUGUGGACUUGCAGGGAGGGUGGAGGAGGGCACAUGGGCUGAGUGGAUAAGGGCAGCCCAGAGCCAGCCAGGCAGUUUUAUUGAAAUAUUUUU